GUCAAACCACUACGAUAUUUAGAUUUUACUGAAUAUACCUGAAAGUGAUGUUGCAUGCUUAUUGUAGAAUGGCAAUAUUUAAAAUAGGUCAAAAAUUACAUCCUCUAUAAUUGUUUAACUUUAUAAUGAAAAAAAAUCUUGUUGACAGCUUAAAAUGUGAGAGGUACAUAGUUUAAAUUUUCAGAGUAAAUACUAUCAAAAAUAAUUUAAGAUGUGCUACCUAAGGCAGUAAACUUU